UCCGAAGUUGGGGGCGGAAUUUGUUUGUGCGGGGUAUGUACGAAACAUAUUGAAGAGUAGGGAAAACAAACUAAAACAUUGCGUUUGGAAUCCGUUUCAGUGGAAACAGAUCAAAAAUCGAAAUGUAACCGAAUAUAACCGUUGUGACCGAAAUUCUAUUUUACAUCGUGUAAAUGACAACCGAAAUAAUACUUUACAGGCUUUAGAGGUACAUUGACUACUGUCUCUGAUACUUAUCUGUGUAACCGAAAACCUAACAGUUUUUGAGUAAACAACUGCCAUAGUUUUUACAGAGAGAAAUCAGAUAACCUAACAUCAUAUUCAAAAUUAAAAUCAUGCCACUCCUGUCACUUUAUUAGGUACACAUCGCGUCGCGUAGGUACUAUGCGCGUGACGGUAUUUG